GGGGAAGGUUCCAGAAGGGGGCCAUCUGUCUCGUAAGUUCCAUAACAGACAGACAGGCGACCCCCAGGAAGGCUCAAGAAGGGCUGAUGGGGACUCCCUCGGGGAAGGUCCACAAGGUGGCUAAUCUUGCAGGAAUGAUGCUCCCCUUGGCCUUACUCCUCAUUGCAGGGCUCUCAGAGGUGGAAACCAGUGUCACCAGGGCUCCUUCUGGAUGGACCUAUAAUGUGGAAUGUUAUCACUGUGAGGUAAAAACUCCUUCAAUUGUCCAGAAAAGAAGAUAUGUGAAUAUCAUCUUAGACGCUGUAUGACAGUCUCCAUUCGUGUGAGCCCUCAUGAAAUACUCGUUUACAAGGACUGCACUUGGAACUGCACAUUUGUAUAUACUGCCCUCGUGCCUCUUGAAACCCCAAGAAGCCCUGGAACCGGGAAAACUAAUAGUUUCUAUUUUACUAAUUGCUGUAAUGGUAUGCAUUGCAAUGUAGGAGGACCUACUAACAUGGAGAGGGACUUAAUAGAUGACACUGUACUUGAGAAUGAUCUACUAGAUGGGACGGAAUGUUGGAUGACAUCAGCCUUCUUCCCGAUUUUCGCCUCCAUCAUAGCCAGCAAUACACAGACAUGAGAACCCUCUGUGGAGGAGUCUGUUAGCCUUCCCUUUCCCUCAGAUCAGUUUUGCUCUCCUUUGUCCCCGUGAUACAUUGCCAAGCUCCCAGUUGACCCAUUUAUGGUUCACUGUCAGCACAAAAUAAAGUCAUUGUUGAAAACAUUCAUGAACAGUUGUUUACUUCCAUGUACUUGGGCAAUCACACUGGUGUUUCUCCUUUUCUUUCCUUUACUGCACAC
rnacentral:lncRNA from 1 species